rnacentral:rRNA from 1 species
GGAUAACCUGCCCUUGGGACCGGCAUAACCCCGGGAAACUGGGGAUAAUUCCGGAUAACGCACAUAUGCUGGAAUGCUUUCUGCGUAAAAUGGAUUCGUCCGCCCAAGGAUGGGUCUGCGGCCUAUCAGGUAGUAGUGGGUGUAAUGUACCUACUAGCCUACAACGGGUACGGGUUGUGAGAGCAAGAGCCCGGAGAUGGAUUCUGAGACAUGAAUCCAGGCCCUACGGGGCGCAGCAGGCGCGAAAACUUUACAAUGCGGGAAACCGUGAUAAGGGGACACCGAGUGCUAGCAUCAUAUGCUGGCUGUCCAGGUGUGUAAAAUACACCUGUUAGCAAGGGCCGGGCAAGACCGGUGCCAGCCGCCGCGGUAACACCGGCGGCCCGAGUGGUGAUCGUGAUUAUUGGGUCUAAAGGGUCCGUAGCCGGUUUGGUCAGUCCUCCGGGAAAUCUGAUAGCUCAACUAUUAGGCUUUCGGGGGAUACUGCCAGGCUUGGAACCGGGAGAGGUAAGAGGUACUACAGGGGUAGGAGUGAAAUCUUGUAAUCCCUGUGGGACCACCUGUGGCGAAGGCGUCUUACCAGAACGGGUUCGACGGUGAGGGACGAAAGCUGGGGGCACGAACCGGAUUAGAUACCCGGGUAGUCCCAGCCGUAAACGAUGCUCGCUAGGUGUCAGGCAUGGCGCGACCGUGUCUGGUGCCGCAGGGAAGCCGUGAAGCGAGCCACCUGGKAAGYMCGGCCGCAAGGCUGAAACUUAA